rnacentral:rRNA from 1 species
GAUGAACGCUGGCGGCGUGCCUAAUACAUGCAAGUCGAGCGCAGCGGGGACGGGUGAGUAACACGUGGAUAACCUCCUAUAAGACUGGGAUAACUUCGGGAAACCGUCGCUAACCCGGAUACUUAUCGAUGGAUCCCCGCUGCAUUAGCUAGUUGGUAAGGUAACGGCUUACAAAGGCAACGAUGCAUAGCCGACCUGAGAGGGGGAUGGGGCAAACUGGAACUGAGACACGGACCAGACUCCUACGGGAGGCAGCAGUAGGGAAUCUUACGCAAUGGGCGAAAGCCUGACGGAGCAACGCCGCGUGAGUGAUGAAGGUCUUCGGAUCGUAAAACUCUGUUAUUAGGGAAGCGGUACCUAAUGAGAAAGCCACGGCUAACUACGUGCCAGCAGCCGCGGUAAUUG